CUUUGCUAGCGUGUGAGAUGAGUGGAAUUGUGCGGUAGUUUGAACAUUCUUUGGCACUGCCUUUCUUUGGGAUUGGGAUGAAAACUGACCUUUUCCAGUCCUGUGGCCACUGCUGAGUUUUCCAGAUUUGCUGGCAUAUCGAGUGUAGCACUUUCACAGCAUCAUCUUUUAGGAUUUGAAAUAGCUCAGCUGGAAUUCCAUCACCUCCACUAGCUUUGUUCAUAGUGAUGCUUCCUAAGGCCCACUUGGCUUCGCACUCCAGAAUGUCUGGCUCUAGGUGAGGGGAUAUGUGUCUACACAUGGCUGAUUCGCGAUGUUGUUCAGAAGAAACUAACACGAGGUUGUAAAGCGAUUGUCUCGCAAUAAACAGACGUGAGUGCGGAGCGCGUCCCACCACCCCGUCUCCAGAGGAGCAGCCCUCUCCAGUCACCGAGAGCGGGUCCCACCAUGCAGCGCUAGGCUGGCUGGCGGCCCCGGCCUCUGUGCAGGGUGGUGGGGUGGCCCUCGCUGAGUCCUUGGACAGCUGUGGGUCCAGGUCCUGAUGUGAAGUGGGGACGAUGAUCACACGCUUUGGAGGACCUGCUGGGGAGGGGGAGCGCUCAGAACAGAGCUGGCUUUAGCGCCACCAGGGAGUGCCGGUGCAAGGACCAUCGGGGUGUGUGUCCAGUGCCUGCAGGCGUGAGAAUACCCCCUGUGCGUGCGUGCGCGUGUCUGUGGACACUCGUGCUCUUGCCCUGCGGGUGCAGUUGGAGUGCCAGCAUGCGGGCAUUAGGUCGGGGGGACCACAGCCUCUCCGGUCCUCAGCUGUCCCUCUGUCCCCUUCCCUUCCUGGCCCCCGAGGAGGCUGAGAAGCAGAUUCUCCCUUCUGAGGGUUGGUUAAAGCUCAAAACCAGAGGCCUCCGUGGACCCCCACCUGUUUUUCCAAGCCCACCGUCCCUCCACCUCAUCUUCCGCCGUCCCAUCGUCCGCCAGCUCGUCAUUCAGCGUGGAUUUCCUGAGCCACCCCCAGGCACCAGCACCGUGGCUCAGGCGACGUGCAGACAACAAAGAAAGAACCACCCCAUCCGUCCACCCACCCAUUGUGCGUCCGCCUGCCCACCCACCCCUGCCCGCCCGUCCGUCUGUCCCUCCGUCCGUGCUUCCACGCCUCUCUGCAGUCACACACUCACUCCCUGUCAAGUCCUCCCGGGCGCCUGGACUCAGCCGUGGGUGAGUCAGUCUCAGCCCUCAGGGGCCACAGAUGGGGGAGGGUUGGGCAGCUCUCCCCCAGGCUCUGGCCGCUGUGGGGGUCGGGAGGAGGAGGCAGCUGGGGGAAGCCCUGCACCGUGUGGUGUGUGAGGUCCUUGUAUGGUGUCUCCCCUGGCCUGUGUGUCUCACAGAGACACUCUCCACCCACUGCGGGCAGGGCCUCCCCCAUGCCACGGCCAAGCCAGGCUGGGAACUCAGUAGGCGCCCCUUGGAUAGCGAGCGCCAGGCUGGCUGAGUCACCCUCCCUCGUCCUCCUCCAGCCAGCCCUGCUUUGCCGUUGGCUCCUCCACCCCAGCCUCCCUGGCCCGACUCGCUCGUCUGCCCUCUCUAAGUCCACUCUCAGCUCAGGCCCUGCAUGGGCUCUGGUUCUGCAGGGGGAGAUCAGGGUAGCUUUGGAGGGCCAGCCGGGUCGGCCAAAGAGCUGGCUCAGCAGCUCUGGCGAGGUGGACGAGGACCCUGACCAGGAAAUGGACACACAGCCUCAAAGGACCAAGGACAGGCCACCUCCCAGGUCUCCUGCCCCCUUCUCCCAGGGGCCGGGGACGCUCGCCUGGCUCUCUAGUGAGGAAAGGCCUGAUGGCUCCUCAGACGCCCCAGCACAGACACCGUCUGGGCUCCUGGGGUGCACAGUAGCCUGGGGCCCCCAAAGGGUCAGCUGAGGCUGGCGGGCAGUGGGUGGCAUGCAGGUGACCUGGGAGGAUGGGAAGGUCUCAAGUCGUGCUAAUCAGAAUCGGGGUGUGUCAGGCCCCAGCCCUCACUCCCCAGGCCAGCUGGGGGCAGACCCAGGUCCUGGGGAUCCCAUGAAGCUCAGAGGUCCCCGACUUCACACCAGCAGGUCACCCAGGAAACCAAAGGAUCAGGGUGAGUGUCUGAGGGAACACCUUUUAGGAGUGAUUUUAUCAAAGAGGGCCCCAGGCUGUGACCCCGCAUCCUUGCAACAGAUGCGCUGGCAGUCUGGAACAGAUUCAGGUCAGUUUCGUAAGCCACUGGGGCAAAUUCCCAGCAAAGAUAAAGCAAGGUGGCCCUGCCAGCUGGAAGCUGACCCCGAACCCCAAGCCUGACUUUUCUGCCCAGUGCGAUCCCAGCUGCC
rnacentral:lncRNA from 1 species